CGGGGUGGAGUAAUGUCUGGGAAACUGCCUGAUGGAGGGGGAUAACUACUGGAAACGGUAGCUAAUACCGCAUAACGUCGCAAGACCAAAGUGGGGGACCGUUCGGGCCUCAUGCCAUAAGAUGUGCCCAGAUGGGAUUAGCUAGUAGGUGGGGUAACGGCUCACCUAGGCGACGAUCCCUAGCUGGUCUGAGAGGAUGACCAGCCACACUGGAACUGAGACACGGUCCAG
rnacentral:rRNA from 1 species